rnacentral:rRNA from 1 species
UGAGGAAUCUUGCGCAAUGGGGGAAACCCUGACGCAGCAACGCCGCGUGAGUGAGGAAGGCCUUCGGGUCGUAAAGCUCUGUCAGAUGGGAAGAAAUGGGUGGGGGCUAAUAUCGUCCACCCUUGACGGUACCAUCAGAGGAAGCACCGGCUAACUCCGUG